rnacentral:rRNA from 1 species
GAUGAAUGCUGGCGGCGUGCCUAACACAUGCAAGUCGGGCGGCAGCGCGAGUAGUUUACUACUUGGCGGCGAGCGGCGGACGGCUGAGUAACGCGUGGGAACGUGCCCCAAAGUGAGGAAUAACUGCCCGAAAGGGUGGCUAAUGCCGCAUAUGAUCUUCGGAUUAAAGGAUUUAUCCGCUUUGGGAGCGGCCCGCGUUAGAUUAGGUAGUUGGUGAGGUAAUGGCUCACCAAGCCGACGAUCUAUAGCUGGUCUGAGAGGAUGAUCAGCCAGACUGGAACUGAGACACGGUCCAGACUCCUACGGGAGGCAGCAGUGAGGAAUCUUCCACAAUGGGCGAAAGCCUGAUGGAGCAACGCCGCGUGCAGGAUGAAGGCCCUAGGGUCGUAAACUGCUUUUAUAAGUGAAGAAUAUGACGGUAACUUAUGAAUAAGCACCGGCUAACUACGUGCCAGCAGCCGCGGUAA